GGAGACUUGGGUGAGAGGCUUAAACCACCAGUCUUGAAAACUGGCGAUCGUAGGAAUACGGUCCAUCCGUUCAAAUCGGAUAGUCUCCGCCA
rnacentral:tRNA from 1 species